UAAAAAUAACACUGAAACGUACCACUGAUGUGUUUUUGUUAUUCUAAAAAGCAGCAGUGCUAAAGGAACAGAGGCUGUAAUGACAUUUCACAUUCAGAUUUGGGUCUCGCUGGAGAAGGGGCCUCCCGACCCGGCCUGGGCUCCCAACAGCAGCAGCACUGCCGCCGCCGCGGGCUCCUUCUCAUUGUCUCUGGUGGCGGUGGGGGUGGCACUCCACGGCUGGAGGUCUGAUCUAGCCGAGAAGGAAAACCGCAUUGCUGCCCUCCCCACGUUGCCUGGACUCUGCAGGGCAGGGGCUGGCGUGUGUGUGUGCGCUGGGGGCAGGGGUGCAGUGACCUGCCAUUGUCUCUGGAAGAAAGGACUGGGUCCCUGAGCUCCACUCGCCAAGAGGAGCCCCGUCUCCCCACACCAGAGGGUCUCCACGCUCCCGGUCAGUCAUCACCCGGACCCCCCAGCAGACCCCAGCUGUGAGAGCAGGAGCCUCCGACCCUGCCGGACCGCCCAGCUACGCCACUGGCUCCUCAGCCUGGUCCUGAGUCGCUGGCCCCUUGCCACACUGCCCGCUCUGCCCGUCGCGGCUGGAUUCAGCCGGGGACUCUCCGGCCACGAAGUCCCUCCACCCACACGGCUGCCACUCUUCCCCCUCGGGAGGGCCCACCCACGGAAGGAGCGGAACAAUGGUGCCCUGGGCCGCCCAUUCAGGCCGCCUGUGCUGCCGCUAAUUACGACAUCACCCGGCGCUGGCCGAGCUCCCCGCCCUGCGGCGUUUGGCCGGGGUCUCUCUUAGGUGCCUCUCAAAAUCAAAGUCGGGAAUAUCUCAGAGGAAGGGCGGGCUGGCGUGAGAGACGGGAUCUCCUUCUCACGUGUGCCCACACGAAACGGGAAGCCCAGGGCUCUGCUGGUACCGGCUCCCAGAGCCCGUGGCAACUCUGGGAACAUUCCGGAAGGCUCAGGCGGGCUGCGCGUAGCAUCUCCAGGCUCUGCUUCCAGGGCGUCCAAGUUACCCCAGCGAGUCAGGCACCCAAGUUACAGCGCUCCCAUCAACAGUCAUCAUUCUAAUUGCCCGAGUCUCCACCCGAACAAAGUCACCCUAUAGUUUUAUGGUAUUUGAUUAAUGAGGGCAGGAAAAUUGAAGUUUUUGCAAUAAAACUCCCCCCCAAAAAUCCA
rnacentral:lncRNA from 1 species